rnacentral:rRNA from 1 species
UACGUAGGUGGCAAGCGUUGUCCGGAUUUAUUGGGCGUAAAGCGCGCGCAGGCGGGAUGAUAAGUCUGUCUUAAAAGUUCGGGGCUCAACCCCGUGAUGGGAUGGAAACUAUCAUUCUUGAGUAUCGGAGAGGAAAGUGGAAUUCCUAGUGUAGCGGUGAAAUGCGUAGAUAUUAGGAGGAACACCAGUGGCGAAGGCGACUUUCUGGACGAUGUCUGACGCUGAGGCGCGAAAGCCAGGGUAGUGAACGGG